CAGGCGGGAGAGCCCAGUCAAUGGGCACCGACGGUGCAACUUCCUCCCCAGGAAUCUCUCAGGUACCCUUACCGC
rnacentral:ncRNA from 1 species